CUCGGGACCCCCUCUCUCUGCAGGAGAGAGCUUUUCUCUUUCUUUCGCCUAUUAAACCUCCACUCUUAACCUCACUCCUUCUAUGUCUGUGUUCCUGAUUUCCCUGGCAUGGGAAACGUCCCCACCUUUGAGAGGAAAAGGCAAGAGAAGACUUCUUGGAGGAGGUGAUGCCUGUACUGAGUCUUGAAGAAUGAGCAGGAGAACUCAGGAAAAGAAGGCACAACAGGGCUUUGAGGCUUUGGAGCCUCAAAAGGGCUUUGAAGGGAAGGUGUGAGCAGAGAACUGCCAGAAAGCACAUUUUAGUCCAGAGACGUUCAAGUCAUUGGAUUUAAGUGGAGAAUUUCAGAGGCAAGUGAUGGGAGAUGAUAAUGACAACCCUAUUGAGAGCACUUACUGUGUGCCAAGGGUUUUCUAUCAGGGGUGAUUUUGUGUCUCCUCCAGGGGAUAUUUGCCAAUAUCUGGAGACAUUUCUGGUUGUCACAGCUGUGGUAGGAGGGAAUGCUACUGUCAUCUAGGGGUAAAGGUCAGGGAUGCUUCUAAACAUCCCACAGUGCACAGGACUCUUCCUCUCCCAGGGCCAAUGGUGCUGAGCUGGAGAAGCUGUGCUAUGUGUACACCUUGGGCCGAUCACCUUAUAAACUUGAAACCACUUUAUCCUCAUAACUCUGUGAGAUAGUGGUUUCAGCCCUUGUCUCAGACAAGGAAAAUGAGGCUCUGACAGGCUAAGCCACUUAAAAUCAAAGAGCUAGCAAGAGACAGUGUGGAUUUGAACUCAGCCAGCCAAUCUCCAGCUCCCUGACAUUAAUGACUGCAGGAGAGAAAUCCAUUGUCCAUGUGGUGAAGGUUUUUAGAUGCUAAGUUACAAAGUUUGGGCUUAUACGUGUUGUGCAACAGCAACACCUGAAUAUCUUUCAUCUGCAGAUUUUUCAUUUCCUCAUUCACUGGGCACUUUCACCCAAAGAACCAAAUAUUGGAGUCAAAUUAAAUUCCUGUCUGUAAGCAGAAAGACAAAGCAAAGGAUUUUCCAAUGCACUCAUCAUAUUAUCUCCCUGUCUUUCCAUGUCAGAGAAGCUCUGGCCUACUAUUAAAUACAAUUGCAAGAACAACUGACCUGGUUUAUUCCGAAACAGGCGUAUAAUAUAAUGAAGUCUCCUCAUAUGGCUUCUGAUUUUCCCUCCUCUGCAGUAGGAAUGCCGAACCCUCGCGUGGCCUGUUCUUAAGUGACUUCCUUGAAACUCUAAUCAUGUGCACGAUUCCUCUGCAGUUCCAUGUGGAGGUGCAGUAUUCUCAACGCAUGCUUGUCAGUUCUAGUUUUCCUCUGAAAGAAGGCACAGAGGCCGGCUUCCCUGAGCUUCAUGGGCUGCUGCAGGGCAGAGAAGCGGAAGCUGGCCUCGGCCUCACAGCAGCAGAGUGGAGCUAUGUGUUUGCAAGCAGACCUCAGAAAACCGGAGCUUAAGAAAGUGAUCACCUCUGGCUGCAGCCCUUAACUGGGUGCUGACUACAGACUACAGAACAGGACCAGCACAUGCUGACACAUCCCUAGGUUUCCCCACAGCCAGUGAGGCAGGAAAUAACCAACCCAUUGUACAGAGGAGAGGAGGAAGCCAAAGCUCAAAGAACCCGAGUCGUAAACUGCAGAGCAGGACUUCAAACCCAGAUGCUUAGCACAAUGUGUAAUGAGAUAAUAACUUGUUUGUUUUUUUUGAGAUGGAGUUUCGCUCUGUUGCCCAGGCUGGAGUGUAGUGGUAUGAUCUUGGCUCAUUGCAACCACUGCCUCCCGGGUUCAAGUGAUUCUCGUGCCUCAGCCUCCCAAGUAGCUGGGAUUACUGGAUCCCGGCAGGAUGCCCAGCUAAUUUUUGUAUUUUUAGUAGAGACGGGGUUUCACCUAACCUGAGUCUCUGUUCUGUCCCUAGUAAUACUGAGAUAGUAACACCCACUUCACAAAGUUACUGUGAGAUUGCACGAGUAAAGAGCAGAGGAAAUUCUUGUAUUGAAUGCUUAGUACACUUAAGAGGUGAUCAUUGCAUUCACUAAUGAUGUUUUUAAAAUACUCUUCCUCAUUUGAGCACUAACUUAAGUUAGAUAAGUUAGGCUUAGAGAGGUUAAGCAACUUGCUUGGAGUCACACAGAUAGAGAAGGCACAGCUGGGAUUGGACUGCAGAACAGUAAAACUCCAAGUUUGUCUCUUUCUGAUAUACCUCAUUGCCUUUGAGCAGGGCAUGAAAAUCUGGAAUGUUGCUUCCAAAUUUAGGGGUUUUUUUUUGGUUGGGGUGCAGGGGAGAAGGAGGAAGAGGAAAAUGUUUCAAAUGUUUGGGAAGUAAAGAGGAGAAACCUUUCUUUUGAAAGUGAGCACUGAUGGGUCUAGGGUUUUACUCUCUUGAGGCAGUGAGUGUGUCACAUUGAUUUCCUUCUCUGAUGGGAAAGGAUUAGGAAACAAAAGAAAGGACAGACAAGGUGAAAAGGAGGGUGUGGAUCUACAGGAAUGAAACACUGGUAAAGCAGCCUAGAGGCAAACUUGAGGCUGAGGGUUUAAAUGGCCAGCCUAUAGGAGUGCGUACCCAGUAUAUGAAGAAUUCUUAACAGAUCAAUAAUAAGAAGAUACAUGACCUGAUUUAGAAAUUGGCAAAGGAUUUUAAGAGGCAUUUUCCCAAAGACGACAUACAG
rnacentral:lncRNA from 1 species